AAAUCCGACCGUGAAUCUGCAUGAAAUGUAAAUAACACAAGAUGUAUCGUGGUUCACCCCAAGGUUUGGGCUACAUCCACACUGAUUGUAUUUCUCUGAGAGUAUUUGUGAGGGAGAGAGUGUGAGAGCUUUGCUCUAGAGAGGAGAAACCUAAGGUUGUGAGGGUGAGGAGGCCCUUUUAUAGAAUAAGGGCUCCUCCCCUAAUUACAUAUUUGCCCCUUCCUUUAUUACAUAAUUACAUUUAAGUCUCCCGAGUAUUUAUACGAGGUCUAAAUACGAGGCCCUAAAUAUGGUAUAAACAAAAACAUUGCACUAAAAAAUAUUUUGUCAACUCUUAAUAAUUAAUUAUUGGAAUAAGGACUCAUUUUAAAUAAAAAUAAAAAUGUGAAAACUCCUAGUUCACGUUUCUACUAUAAGUAGUUGUUAAAAAAUUCAAAUUUAUUUUCAGUUGCAUGAAAUUAGGCAGUCUAGUCUACAUCUCAAUUUUAAUUAUAAAUGAACUCUUGUUUUUUUAUAAUCUAUAUAAAAUGUUGAGUUGGAAAUUGAAAAAAUUAUAUUUCAUCCAAUUAAUCUUGAACCCCAGUAGAUAUAAUUGAAUCCUUAAAUUGAGGAAGGGAUGAGAUUCCAUAAAAAUAGCAAUAAAUUAAUGAAUAUUAUUGAGUGCAUUUAUUUUACAUAGAAAUUGAUUUAAAAGAAUUUAUAAAAUACUUAAAUUAAGAAUAUACCUGGAAUAUGAAGUUUAAUUAAAAGUAAAAGCACUUUAAUCAAAAGUUGAAAAGUAACAGAUGUUUAAUUUAGAAAAAUCUAAAAUGAGGCAUCUAAUUCUAAUUAACUGUAAAAAUUUAGCAAGCAUGUGCCCAAUUUUGUUAUUAUUAAAAAAAAGGAAGAAAAGGGAAAAGUCUUGUCAAACACAGUGUGUGCGCAUUUGCUAGUUUAUUUUACUAAGGACUUGUUUAGAAGUAUUUUUAAAAUGACUGAAAUCGUUUUUGAUGAAAAUGUUUUUAAAACCAUUCCUUAGUCAAAAUCCAAGUAAUCUUCGAAAAACACUUAAGUGCUCACUACCCAAAGUACAUAUCUGGUGCUUCAUCCAAAAAGUACUUGAAGUGCUUUUGGAAUCCAAAAUUAAUUUCACCAAAAACAUUUUCAGUUAUUUUAACACUUCCAAACGAACUCUAAAAAGUUAUUGUUACCAUAUUCAACAUCGUUUGAAGGAGGCCUUUAAAGAAAGGGAUCCCCAUUUUUUUUCAAAAAUGUGGAUUAGUUUUUAGGCCCACACCACAUCGAACUUCCAUGAUCCGAACCGCAUAUUUUUCAAGUUGCACCUUAUGGAUCAUCCUUGCAAAACAAUAGCCAAAACGAAAAUAUUUGAUACAUCUAAUUGAGUUCAAAGAAAUUAACGAAUAAUUUCUUCUAUAAGAAACAACGUGAUAAUUAAAUUGGCAAACGAUUUUGGGUUGAAAUGAAUUUUUGCAAGAAUGAUCUAUGAAUCGAGGCUUACAAAAUAGACGGUUCGGAUCGUUGAAGUUUAAUGUAGAGUGGAUCUCACAACUAAUCCACAUUUUGAAAAAAAAAUGGGAAUCCCUUCUCUUAAAGAAUGUUGGUGCUUCAUCAAUACAACUGCUACAAUUAGAAUCCCUCUAAUGAUCGUUGAUCCUGAAUAGCGACUUAUUAUUGGGAACCGUAAGUCCAACAAUAUGGGGUCUCCAACAAGGCGUCACUCAUCGGACAAUAACACACCAUUGAGUGUUGUAACCGUCAAUGCGAGCAAUCCAACUGGAAGCUCCCUAAAUGGCCUAACCUGCCAAACGACUCGUUAUUGAGUGUUAGGAGUCUAUCUAUAUGACUGCUACAAUUGGAAGGUCCCCAAAUAAUGUAACUUCAUAUAACGACUCACAUUGGAUGUUGUAAGUCCAUUAAUGCGAGUGUGCAAUUGGAAGCUCCCCAAGAAAUGUAACCCCGUAAGUAAUGACCAAGGUAUAAAAUAUCAAUGAUAUCGGAAAUAUCGGUAGUCCAAAA
rnacentral:lncRNA from 1 species